GCAGCAUGGUCUUAGCUUGCUAAGACUGAUGGCGACCGGCGCACGGGUGAGUAACACGUAUCCAACCUGCCGUCUACUCUUGGACAGCCUUCUGAAAGGAAGAUUAAUACAAGAUGGCAUCAUGAGUCCGCAUGUUCACAUGAUUAAAGGUAUUCCGGUAGACGAUGGGGAUGCGUUCCAUUAGAUAGUAGGCGGGGUAACGGCCCACCUAGUCUUCGAUGGAUAGGGGUUCUGAGAGGAAGGUCCCCCACAUUGGAACUGAGACACGGUCCAAACUCCUACGGGAGGCAGCAGUGAGGAAUAUUGGUCAAUGGGCGAGAGCCUGAACCAGCCAAGUAGCGUGAAGGAUGACUGCCCUAUGGGUUGUAAACUUCUUUUAUAAAGGAAUAAAGUCGGGUAUGUAUACCCGUUUGCAUGUACUUUAUGAAUAAGGAUCGGCUAACUCCGUGCCAGCAGCCGCGGUAAUACGGAGGAUCCGAGCGUUAUCCGGAUUUAUUGGGUUUAAAGGGAGCGUAGAUGGAUGUUUAAGUCAGUUGUGAAAGUUUGCGGCUCAACCGUAAAAUUGCAGUUGAUACUGGAUAUCUUGAGUGCAGUUGAGGCAGGCGGAAUUCGUGGUGUAGCGGUGAAAUGCUUAGAUAUCACGAAGACUCCGAUUGCGAAGGCAGCCUGCUAA
rnacentral:rRNA from 1 species